rnacentral:rRNA from 1 species
AGCCGCGGUAAUACGGAGGAUCCAAGCGUUAUCCGGAUUUAUUGGGUUUAAAGGGUGCGUAGGCGGUUUGAUAAGUUAGAGGUGAAAUUUCGGGGCUCAACCCUGAACGUGCCUCUAAUACUGUUGAGCUAGAGAGUAGUUGCGGUAGGCGGAAUGUAUGGUGUAGCGGUGAAAUGCUUAGAGAUCAUACAGAACACCGAUUGCGAAGGCAGCUUACCAAACUAUAUCUGACGUUGAGGCACGAAAGCGUGGGGAGCAAACAGGAUUAGAUACCCUGGUAGUCCACGCAGUAAACGAUGAUAACUCGUUGUCGGCGAUACACAGUCGGUGACUAAGCGAAAGCGAUAAGUUAUCCACCUGGGGAGUACGUUCGCAAGAAUGAAACUCAAAGGAAUUGACGGGGGCCCGCACAAGCGGAGGAACAUGUGGUUUAAUUCGAUGAUACGCGAGGAACCUUACCCGGGCUUGAAAGUUAGCGACGAUUCUUGAAAGAGGAUUUCCCUUCGGGGCGCGAAACUAGGUGCUGCAUGGUUGUCGUCAGCUCGUGCCGUGAGGUGUCGGGUUAAGUCCCAUAACGAGCGCAACCCCUACCGUUAGUUGCCAUCAGGUCAAGCUGGGCACUCUGGCGGGACUGCCGGUGUAAGCCGAGAGGAAGGUGGGGAUGACGUCAAAUCAGCACGGCCCUUACGUCCGGGGCUACACACGUGUUACAAUGGGGGGUACAGAAGGCAGCUACACGGCGACGUGAUGCGAAUCCCUAAAACCUCUCUCAGUUCGGAUCGAAGUCUGCAACCCGACUUCGUGAAGCUGGAUUCGCUAGUAAUCGCGCAUCAGCCAUGGCGCGGUGAAUACGUUCCCGGGCCUUGUACACACCGCCCGUCAAGCCAUGGGAGCCGGGGGUACCUGAAGUGCGUAACCGCGAGGAGCGCCCUAGGGUAAAACUGGUGACUGGGGCUAAGUCGUAACAAGGUAGCCGUACCGGAAGGUGCGGCUG